GGGGAGAGAGCUAUGAGAUUUGAACCAUAAACCUCACUAUUCAUAAAUUUAAAAUCAUAUAAUAGCUCAUUUUUUGAUUGCUCAAUUAAAAAUAGAUUAUUUAUAUAAAAGAUAAUAUUUAAUUUUUAAAAAUUUGUGUGUUCUACUCAUUUUAUCUAAUAUUUUUUUUAUUUUUUGUGCUAAAAAAUGGUGAGUCAUGUUUAAUUGAACAGAC
rnacentral:lncRNA from 1 species